rnacentral:SRP_RNA from 1 species
GCCAGGCGUGGUGGCGCCUGCCUGGAAUCCCAGCUACUUGGGCUGAUUCAGGAGAAUUGCUUGAACCCAGGAGGCAGAGGUUGCGGUGAGCUGAGAUUGCCAUUGCACGCCAGCCUGGGCAACAAGAGCGAAACUCCAUCUCAAAAGAAAAAAAAAAAAGAAUUGUUCAUUCUCCCAGGAGUUGAGGAACAGCAGGUUACCUAAGGAGGGGUGAAGGGAGGUCUCCAGGUCAGAAAUGGAGCAGGUCAAAACUCCCAUGCUCAUCAGUAGUGUGAUUGUGCCUGUGAAUAACCACUGCUGUCCAGCAUUGGCAACAUAGUGAGACCCUAUCUCU